rnacentral:lncRNA from 1 species
UGGGUGGAAUGCGGGGUACGAGCUGCGGAUUGGGUUAUGGUUACAGGGUUACGGAGUGGGUACGGGGCGGCUGGCGCCUGCUGUCGUACCUGACCGGUGUGCUGUCCACCCAACCUGUGGACUCCCCAAAUGCCCACACGAGGACUCCACAGCCGCUACACCCGCUAUGCCGUUGCGCAUGCACACGUUAUGCGCAGUAGUGCUCUCUACGCUUGCCUAUGUUGUUCAUAUGACAUCCCCAAAACGUUUCUUGUGCCUACAUCUCCUAUACUUGCCUUGGAC